ACGUCUUGGGCUGUUCGCGGGCUGGACCUCUCGGGGUUACAGCCUUGCUGAAUUAUUCACCCUUGUCUUUUGCGUACUUCUUGUUUCCUUGGUGGGUUCGCCCACCACUAGGACAAACAUAAACCUUUUGUAAUUGCAAUCAGCGUCAGUAACAAAUUAAUAAUUACAACUUUCAACAACGGAUCUCUUGGUUCUGGCAUCGAUGAAGAACGCAGCGAAAUGCGAUAAGUAGUGUGAAUUGCAGAAUUCAGUGAAUCAUCGAAUCUUUGAACGCACAUUGCGCCCUUUGGUAUUCCAAAGGGCAUGCCUGUUCGAGCGUCAUUUGUACCCUCAAGCUUUGCUUGGUGUUGGGCGUCUUGUCUCUAGCUUUGCUGGAGACUCGCCUUAAAGUAAUUGGCAGCCGGCCUACUGGUUUCGGAGCGCAGCACAAGUCGCACUCUCUAUCAGCAAAGGUCUAGCAUCCACUAAGCCUUUUUUUCAACUUUUGACCUCGGAUCAGGUAGGGAUACCCGCUGAACUUAAGCAUAUCAAAGCCGGGGAGGAAA
rnacentral:rRNA from 1 species